rnacentral:rRNA from 1 species
UACAGAGGGUGCAAGCGUUAAUCGGAAUUACUGGGCGUAAAGCGUGCGUAGACGGUUAUGUAAGUCGGGUGUGAAAGCCCCGGGCUCAACCUGGGAAUUGCAUUCGAGACUGCAUAGCUAGGGUGCGGAAGAGGGAAGCGGAAGUUUCCGGUUGUGAGCGGUGAAAUGCGUAGAUAUCGGAAGGAACACCAGUGGCGAAAGCGGCUUCCUGGUCCAGCACCGACGUUCAGGCACGAAAGCGUGGGGAGCAAACAGG